UACGUAGGGACCAAGCGUUGUUCGGAUUUACUGGGCGUAAAGGGCGCGUAGGCGGCAAAUUAAGUCAGCUGUGAAAUCUCCGAGCUUAACUCGGAACUGUCAGCUGAUACUGAUGUGCUAGAGUGCGGAAGGGGCAAUCGGAAUUCUUGGUGUAGCGGUGAAAUGCGUAGAUAUCAAGAGGAACACCUGAGGUGAAGACGGGUUGCUGGGCCGACACUGACGCUGAGUGCGCGAAAGCCAGGGGAGCAAACAGG
rnacentral:rRNA from 1 species